rnacentral:rRNA from 1 species
UGCCAGCCGCCGCGGUAAUACGAAGGCCCCAAGCGUUAUCCGGAUUUAUUGGGCGUAAAGGGUCCGCAGGCGGCCUAUCAAGUCUUUGUUUAAAGACCGAUGCUUAACAUCGGGAAUGGCAAAGAUACUAGUAGGCUUGAGGCCGGGAGAGGCUAGCGGAACGGUUGGUGUAGGGGUAAAAUCCGUUAAUAUCAACCGGAACACCAAAUGCGAAAGCAGCUAGCUGGAACGCGCCUGACGCUCAGGGACGAAAGCGUGGGUAGCGAACGGGAUUAGAUA